GACGAACGCUGGCGGCGUGCUUAACACAUGCAAGUCGAACGGAAAGGCCCUGCUUUUGUGGGGUGCUCGAGUGGCGAACGGGUGAGUAACACGUGAGUAACCUGCCCUGGACUUUGGGAUAACUGCAGGAAACUGGGGCUAAUACCGGCUAGGAGCUCCUGCUGCAUGGUGGGGGUUGGAAAGUUUCGGCGGUUGGGGAUGGACUCGCGGCUUAUCAGCUUGUUGGUGGGGUAGUGGCUUACCAAGGCUUUGACGGGUAGCCGGCCUGAGAGGGUGACCGGCCACAUUGCGACUGAAAUACGGCCCAGACUCCUACGGGAGGCAGCAGUGGGGAAUAUUGCACCAUGGGCGGAAGCCUGAUGCAGCAACGCCGCGUGCGGGAUGACGGCCUUCGGGUUGUAAACCGCUUUCGCCUGUGACGAAGCGUGAGUGACGGUAAUGGGUAAAGAAGCACCGGCUAACUACGUG
rnacentral:rRNA from 1 species